GCCUGGAUGGCUCAGUCGGCUGAGCAUCAGACUUUGGUUCAGAUCAUGAUCUCGCAGUUUGUGAGUUCGAGCCCCAUGUCGGGCU
rnacentral:tRNA from 1 species